AAUAGCAUCUUCAGGGCGAGAGCAGGGAAGGCAUGUGUGUGUGGGCGUGAGGCACAAAGAGACUUGAUUUUUUCUUAUAACGUACAUACUUGUGAUUCACAACAGUAACUUCGCAUUUCUUGUCACGGUGUUUCCCCCUUUUUUCCAUGUGAAUUGCAGAAGGCAAAUCAUCUGAAUGAAUGAAACAGUGGGCCUACCUAGCAGAAAAUUCUGCUCUAAACUACUCAGGAAUUUGGAUGGCAUCUCAGUUCUUCAACCUCUUCAUUAAAAUAAAACAACACUGUUAAUACACAUCUAAGUACACACAAGAACUUUUACUAUAAUUUAUUCUUUCAUUUAAAUCAUUUCCUCCUUUUCUUUUUCACCAAUGAAGAAAUCACAUUUUGUUUCUCUGUGGUGAUGUUUGCUUCUAUGCAUAUGUUUUAAAAUUAUAGAUUUAGAGCUGGAAGGAAUCUUAGAGGUUGGUUAGGCUUAAUUUCAUUUUUACUGAUUAGGAAACCGAGGUCAAAAGAGGAUAAGUGACUUGACCAAGAUUACAUAUAUAGUAAGAAACAUAGCCAGGAUUAGACCCAGAUUUUCUGAUGAUAAAUUCAUAAUUUGAUUGUACUGCAAUUUUUUUUACAUUUUUAUAAGAUGUUUCAUGUCUGAAUAGUUAAUUGCUGAUUGAAACAUUUACUAAAUAUAUAUCUAUAUAUAUAGAUAUAUAUUUAUUUAUAUAGGAAUUAGAAAGGACUAGCGGGUUCCCUUUCAUGACUUUGGGGGAAAGGAAUGAAUUUCCUGGUA
rnacentral:lncRNA from 1 species